UGUAAGGCGCCGAAUGAGUCAUUAAAAAAUUAACAUCAUCCGAUCCCUAGUCGGCAUAGUUUAUGGUUAAGACUACGACGGUAUCUGAUCGUCUUCGAUCCCCUAACUUUCGUUCUUGAUUAAUGAAAACAUCCUUGGCAAAAUGCUUUUCGCAGUAGUUAGUCUUCAAUAAAUCCAAAGAAUUUCACCUCUGACAAUUGAAUACUAAUCGCCCCCAAUAUCCCUAUUAAUCAUUACGUUNAUCCUAAGAAACCAACAAAUAGGUUCGAACGUCCUAUUUCAUUAUCCAUGACUAAUGUAUUCAAGCGUAGG
rnacentral:rRNA from 1 species